GCCAGGUGUGGUGGCGGGCACCUGUAAUCCAAGCUACUCAGGAGGCUGAGAUGGGAGAAUUGCUUGAACCCAGAAGGUGGAGGUUUCAGUGAGCCGAGAUCUUGCCACUGUACUCCAGCCUGGGUGACAGAGCAAGACUCCAUCUCAA
rnacentral:sRNA from 1 species